rnacentral:rRNA from 1 species
GGUUAAGCGACUAAGCGUACACGGUGGAUGCCCUGGCAGUCAGAGGCGAUGAAGGGCGUGCUAAUCUGCGAUAAGCGCCGGUAAGGUGAUAUGAACCGUUAUAACCGGCGAUACCCGAAUGGGGAAACCCAGUGUGAUUCGUCACACUAUCAUUAACUGAAUCCAUAGGUUAAUGAGGCGAACCGGGGGAACUGAAACAUCUAAGUACCCCGAGGAAAAGAAAUCAACCGAGAUUCCCCCAGUAGCGGCGAGCGAACGGGGAGGAGCCCAGAGCCUGAAUCAGCAUGUGUGUUAGUGGAAGCGUCUGGAAAGGCGCGCGAUACAGGGUGACAGCCCCGUACACAAAAGCGCAUGUGCUGUGAGCUCGAUGAGUAGGGCGGGACACGUGGUAUCCUGUCUGAAUAUGGGGGGACCAUCCUCCAAGGCUAAAUACUCCUGACUGACCGAUAGUGAACCAGUACCGUGAGGGAAAGGCGAAAAGAACCCCGGCGAGGGGAGUGAAAAAGAACCUGAAACCGUGUACGUACAAGCAGUGGGAGCACCCUUUGGGUGUGACUGCGUACCUUUUGUAU